UACGUAGGGGGCAAGCGUUGUCCGGAAUCAUUGGGCGUAAAGCGCGUGUAGGCGGCCCGGUAAGUCCGCUGUGAAAGUCGGGGGGCUCAACCCUCGAAUGCCGGUGGAUACUGUCGGGCUAGAGUGCGGGAGAGGCGAGUGGAAUUCCUGGUGUAGCGGUGAAAUGCGCAGAUAUCAGGAGGAACACCAAUUGCGAAGGCAGCUCGCUGGAACGUAACUGACGCUGAGACGCGAAAGCGUGGGGGAGCAAACAGG
rnacentral:rRNA from 1 species